UACGUAGGGGGCAAGCGUUAUCCGGAUUUAUUGGGCGUAAAGAGCUCGUAGGCGGCCGUUCGCGUCGGAUGUGAAAGCUCAGGGCUCAACUCUGAGACGCCAUUCGAUACGGGACGGCUAGAGGUAGGUAGGGGAAAGUGGAAUUUCUGGUGUAGCGGUGAAAUGCGCAGAUAUCAGGAAGAACACCAAUGGCGAAGGCAGCUCUCUGGGACGGUACUGACGCUGAGACGCGAAAGCGUGGGGAGCGAACAGG
rnacentral:rRNA from 1 species